UACGUAGGGUGCGAGCGUUAAUCGGAAUUACUGGGCGUAAAGCGGGCGCAGGCGGUUUUGUAAGCCGGAUGUGAAAUCCCCGGGCUUAACCUGGGAAUGGCAUUCGGGACUGCAAGGCUGGAGUGCGGCAGAGGAGACUGGAAUUCCUGGUGUAGCAGUGAAAUGCGUAGAUAUCAGGAGGAACACCGAUGGCGAAGGCAGGUCUCUGGGCUGACACUGACGCUCAUGCACGAAAGCGUGGGGAGCAAACAGG
rnacentral:rRNA from 1 species